UAGCUGUGUAUAGGUUCCUGCGGGAAUGA
rnacentral:sRNA from 1 species